ACUAUUUUGGCAGAAAAGUGUAUUAGAUUUAGGAUCUAUAGAUGUGGAUUUAUAUUCUACAAGUAGUA
rnacentral:tRNA from 2 species